rnacentral:rRNA from 1 species
GACGAAGGAUCCAAGCGUUAUCCGGAUUUAUUGGGUUUAAAGGGUGCGUAGGCGGAUUGAUAAGUCAGUGGUGAAAGCCUGCAGCUUAACUGCAGAACUGCCAUUGAUACUGUCGAUCUUGAAUGUGGUUGAUGUGGGCGGAAUAUGACAUGUAGCGGUGAAAUGCUUAGAUAUGUCAUAGAACACCGAUUGCGAAGGCAGCUCACAAAGCCAUUAUUGACGCUGAGGCACGAAAGCGUGGGGAUCAAACAGG